rnacentral:rRNA from 1 species
AUUGAACGCUGGCGGCAGGCCUAACACAUGCACGUCGAACGAGUGGCGGACGGGUGAGUAAUGUCUGGGAAACUGCCUGAUGGAGGGGGAUAACUACUGGAAACGGUAGCUAAUACCGCAUACAAUCGGAUGUGCCCAGAUGGGCUUAGCUAGUAGGUGGGGUAAAGGCUCACUUAGGCGACGAUCCCUAGCUGGUCUGAGAGGAUGACCAGCCAAACUGGAACGGAGCCACGUUCCUGACUCCUACGCGAGGCAGCAGUGGGGAAUAUUGCACAAGUGGCGCAAGCCUGAUGCAGCCAUUCCGCGUGUAGGAAGAAGGCCUUCGGGUUGUAAAGUACUUUCAGCGGGGAGGCGUUACCCGCAGAAGAAGCACCGGCUAACUCCGUGCCAGCAGCCGCGGUAAUUC